CAGUAGCCACGGGAAUACGAAGGGUGCAAGCGUUAAUCGGAAUUACUGGGCGUAAAGCGCGCGUAGGUGGUUCAUUAAGUUGGAUGUGAAAGCUCUGGGCUCAACCUGGGAACUGCAUCCAAAACUGGUGAGCUAGAGUACGGUAGAGGGUAGUGGAAUUUCCUGUGUAGCGGUGAAAUGCGUAGAUAUAGGAAGGAACACCAGUGGCGAAGGCGACUACCUGGACUGAUACUGACACUGAGGUGCGAAAGCGUGGGGAGCAAACAGGAUUAGAUACCCCCGUAGUCCCUGUCUCUUAUAC
rnacentral:rRNA from 1 species